CAUUUGUUUGUUUGUUUUUUUCUUAUGUU
rnacentral:sRNA from 1 species